rnacentral:ncRNA from 1 species
UUCAAUGACGGGACGCCACUCCACGCAAUGGUUUUCCGUACAUUCAAGAAGGAGGAAGAAGUUCCGCAGGCUCGCGGUGCGGCAGUGUGGAGACCUGUCGUAAUGCGGUUCGCAUCAGCGUAUGCGACGCGAGACAGCCCGGAUAGCUUCCCGGCUGUCAGAGCAGGAGUUUAUGUCU